GGUGACGGUUCAAGUGUUAUGCAGCUACAUCACACUUCCCCUCUAUGCUCUUGUGAUUCAGAUGGGAUCAAGUUUGAAAAGGGCAGCUCUGGAAGAGCAAGCAGCCAAUGCUAUA